rnacentral:rRNA from 1 species
UACGUAGGGGGCUAGCGUUGUCCGGAUUUAUUGGGCGUAAAGAGCGUGUAGGCGGCCAGGUAGGUCCGGUGUGAAAACUCGAGGCUUAACCUCGAGAUGUCAUCGGAAACCAUCUGGCUAGAGUCCGGAAGAGGCGAGUGGAAUUCCUGGUGUAGCGGUGAAAUGCGCAGAUAUCAGGAGGAACACCAAUUGCGAAGGCAGCUCGCUGGGACGUUACUGACGCUGAGACGCGAAAGCGUGGGGAGCAAACAGG